CCUACGGGUGGCAGCAGUGAGGAAUAUUGGUCAAUGGCCGGAAGGCUGAACCAGCCAUGCCGCGUGAAGGUCAGUGCCCUAUGGGCGUUAAACUUCUUUUGUGCGGGAGCAAUAAUGGUCACGUGUGGCCAGACGAGAGUACCGUACGAAUAAGCAUCGGCUAACUCCGUGCCAGCAGACGCGGUAAGACGGGGGAUGCAAGCGUUGUCCGGAGUUAUUGGGAUUAAGGGGUGCGUAGGCUGUGAGGUAAGUCAUCGGUGAAAUGCCCCCGCUCAACGGGGUGAAGUGCCAUGUCUACUGCCUUGCUGGAAUGCGGAUGCCGUGGGAGGAAUGUGUGGUGUAGCGGUGAAAUGCAUAGAUAUCACACAGAACACCGAUUGCGAAGGCAUCUCACGAAUCCGCGAUUGACGCUGAUGCACGAAAGCGUGGGUAUCAAACAGGAUUAGAUACCCCAGUAGUC
rnacentral:rRNA from 1 species